CCUACGGGAGGCAGCAGUAGGGAAUCUUCCACAAUGGGCGCAAGCCUGAUGGUGCAACACCGCGUGAGUGAAGAAGGGUUUCGGCUCGUAAAGCCCUGUUGUUGGAGAAGAACGUGCGUGAGAGUAACUGUUCACGCAGUGACGGUAUCCAACCAGAAAGUCACGGCUAACUACGUGCCAGCAGCCGCGGUAAUACGUAGGUGGCAAGCGUUAUCCGGAUUGAUUGGGCGUAAAGCGAGCGCAGGCGGUCGCUUAGGUCUGAUGUGAAAGCCUUCGGCUUAACCGAAGAAGUGCAUCGGAAACCGGGCGACUUGAGUGCAGAAGAGGACAGUGGAACUCCAUGUGUAGCAGUGGAAUGCGUAGAUAUAUGGAAGAACACCAGUGGCGAAGGCGGCUGUCUGGUCUGCAACUGACGCUGAGGCUCGAAGGCAUGGGUAGCGAACAGGAUUAGAUACCCGUGUAGUC
rnacentral:rRNA from 1 species